AAACUCGAACUCUGAGGGGCUGACACGUGUCCGACUUCUUCCAAACGCUACGUAUCACUUAAGUUUUAAUACUUCAUUUUGGGCUUGAGUUUCAUUAUUGGUAUUGGGCUUCGGUUUUGUUGAGAGAAAGAGAUUGAACCCUAAUUCCUGUGUCCGAAGGUCAGGAAGGGAGAAGGAAAAAAUGGCACGUGUCCUCUCCGUAACCAUCUAAAACUCUUUUCUAUUCACUUCUUUCGACCAUAACGAUCUCUUUUCUUUCUCUGAAACCGUAGGCGACCGAGCUUCCAUGCAUUCACGAUAAGCCAUCAACUCAAGCUUUAAAUCAGGUCUCAUAAACUCUUUUCUCCUCAUUUAUCAUUUGCAAAAAAAAUUAUAUACAGUGAGCCUUUGAUUUGCUUCAGAUCUGAGAAGGCUGUCGGCCCCAAUAUCAACUCCUAUACCGUUUAAGAAUCGUUUGAUUGGAAGAGGCAGUAUUUAAGGUCUGGCUAGAUCGAAGAUUGAUUUUUAGGUUUUGCUUUCAUCAUACUCUGAUUAUUUUAUGAAAUCUGAUACAGGCUCUUCAAAAAGAAACAAACUUCAAUACUUCAAGCGAUUCGCUUUUUGAGGUUUUGUUCUUAACCUUCUUCUCCGACAAUUUUAUGAAAAUCUGAUGUUAUAACUUAUAAUGCUUUUAGGGUAGAUGGGAAAUUAACGGCAAGUCUUAGAAAGAAUUUGACUUAGAAUGUUGAACAAGUUCAAACAUUGCAAGGCAGAACAAACCACUUUGGCCUCUAAACUACCUUCUUCCCAACUUAAUUAUCCACAGCAACACAAUCGCAGGAAAAGUAAGCAUCAAAUAGAGAGAAAAUUAGACACAUUACAAUAAUCGAAUUUUUAUAGGUGAUCGAUUACUUAUUAACUGGGUUUGAUUGUUGUAGGACAUGUUCUUUCACAUGUUAACUGUUUUCUGGAUUGGUAAGGUCAAAUAUGAUUUGGUUUCCAUAAGAUUCUGGUUUCCUUAAGUUUCUGAUGGCAAAUCCAAGGAGGUUGUUGAUAGCAGCUUCCGAUAGACUGAUAUUCGUAUAUAAUUAUUGACAGAAGGUACUUGCAAAAAGAGUGGUGUUGGCAAGCCGAUGAAACUUUUGGAUUAAAUUAGUGCAUUGUUGAGCGUAUGUUGCUAUUCAAGAAAGAAAGAGUGUUAUGGAGUGUUCUUUCUCACCUAUGAUCUUAAAGCUGUAUCUAUCUCUCAAGUCUCAAACCAUCUGCGUCAUAUGGAGGUAAAAAUUGUUUUUUUUUGCAGUGAUAUCUAAAUGUGUGUGUUUGCAGGAAGAGGAGACAAUUUCAUGGAAGAACGUCAAUGUUUUGUGCUCGGGCUGUGAUAUGUUUCUACUGUCUUGGUUGCUUUAGAAGAUCGUCUGAGAAUCAUAGGAGGGCACUUGAAUCUCGCAGCUGAAGAAAAAGCUCCCAAGAGAAGUAAGCCACCCAGCACGACUCAUGUCUUAGACGUGUUCUCCAGCUGUAGGUGUUGACGGAAGUGUGGCAUGGUGUUACCAGUCCUUCCUUUGUUCAUGCAGAUGUAGGAGUGGUCUGGUCCACUAAUAAAAAUGGACGCGGUGGACCACUAAUGGAUCUGGUCGAUGAUUUGAAUCCAGGAACAUAAUGUAUAGUUGUAAUUGUAAGAAUUGGAAAUGCUUAUAUAAUUGUAUUUUUUUGUAUUAUAA